UGGGGAAUAUUGGACAAUGGGCGAAAGCCUGAUCCAGCCAUGCCGCGUGUGUGAAGAAGGUCUUCGGAUUGUAAUGCACUUUAAGUUGGGAGGAAGGGCAGUAAGCGAAUACCUUGCUGUUUUGACGUUACCGACAGAAUAAGCACCGGCUAACUCUGUGCCAGCAGCCGCGGUAAUACAGAGGGUGCGAGCGUUAAUCGGAUUUACUGGGCGUAAAGCGUGCGUAGGCGGCUGAUUAAGUCGGAUGUGAAAUCCCUGAGCUUAACUUAGGAAUUGCAUUCGAUACUGGUCAGCUAGAGUAUGGGAGAGGAUGGUAGAAUUCCAGGUGUAGCGGUGAAAUGCGUAGAGAUCUGGAGGAAUACCGAUGGCGAAGGCAGCCAUCUGGCCUAAUACUGACGCUGAGGUACGAAAGCAUGGGGAGCAAACAGG
rnacentral:rRNA from 1 species